rnacentral:rRNA from 1 species
UGCCUACGGGAGGCAGCAGUCGGGAAUAUUGCGCAAUGGAGGAAACUCUGACGCAGUGACGCCGCGUGCAGGAAGAAGGUUUUCGGAUUGUAAACUGCUUUAGACAGGGAAGAAAAAAGACAGUACCUGUAGAGGAAGCUCCGGCUAACUACGUGCCAGCAGCCGCGGUAAUACGUAGGGAGCGAGCGUUGUCCGGAAUUACUGGGUGUAAAGGGAGUGUAGGCGGGAUGGUAAGUUAGGUGUGAAAUGCGGAGGCUCAACCUCCGAGCUGCACUUAAAACUGCUGUUCUUGAGUGAAGUAGAGG